GAUGAACGCUGGCGGCGUGCCUAAUACAUGCAAGUCGAGCGAACAGACGAGGAGCUUGCUCCUCUGACGUUAGCGGCGGACGGGUGAGUAACACGUGGAUAACCUACCUAUAAGACUGGGAUAACUUCGGGAAACCGGAGCUAAUACCGGAUAAUAUAUUGAACCGCAUGGUUCAAUAGUGAAAGACGGUUUUGCUGUCACUUAUAGAUGGAUCCGCGCCGCAUUAGCUAGUUGGUAAGGUAACGGCUUACCAAGGCGACGAUGCGUAGCCGACCUGAGAGGGUGAUCGGCCACCCUGGAACUGGGACACGGUCCAGACUCCUACGGGAGGCAGCAGUAGGGAAUCUUCCGCAAUGGGCGAAAGCCUGACGGAGCAACGCCGCGUGAGUGAUGAAGGUCUUCGGAUCGUAAAGCUCUGUUAUUAGGGAAGAACAAAUGUGUAAGUAACUAUGCACGUCUUGACGGUACCUAAUCAGAAAGCCACGGCUAACUACGUG
rnacentral:rRNA from 1 species